GGGACUCUAUUGAGGCCCCGUAAUCGGAAUGAGUACACUUUAAAUCCUUUAACAAGGAUCCAUUGGAGGGCAAGUCUGGUGCCAGCAGCCGCGGUAAUUCCAGCUCCAAUAGCGUAUAUUAAAGUUGUUGCGGUUAAAAAGCUCGUAGUUGGUUCUGCGUGCCGCGCUGUCGGUUCGCCGCCUGUCGGUGUAACUGGCAUGUCGCGGCAUGUCCUGUCGGUGGUGAACGGAGUCCACGACGCUACAUGGGCUUUAUAGUCGAUGUUAGCAUCGUGUGUACUUCCGUUGGCCGAUCUCUCCUACUUCGGUGCUCUUAAACGAGUGUCGAGGUAGGCCGACACGUUCACUUUGAACAAAUUAGAGUGCUUAAAGCAGGCUGAAAUAUCUGCCUGAAUAGUGGUGCAUGGAAUGAUAAAACAGGACCUCGGUUCUAUUUUGUUGGUUUUAGGAAUAUGAGGUAAUGAUCAAUGUGGACUGGCGGGGGCAUUCGUAUUGCGACGUUAGAGGUGAAAUUCUUGGAUCGUCGCAAGACGCACUAGAGCGAAAGCAUUUGCCAAGUAUGUCUUAAUUGAUCAAGAACGAAAGUUAGAGGUUCGAAGGCGAUCAGAUACCGCCCUAGUUCUAACCAUAAACGAUGCCAGCCAGCGAUCCGCCGAUGUUCCUUUAAUGACUCGGCGGGGAGCUUCCACCCGGGAAACCAAAGCUUUUGGGUUCCGGGGGAAGUAUGGUUGCAAAGCUGAAAC
rnacentral:rRNA from 1 species